UACGAGGGGUCCUAGCGUUGUUCGGAAUCACUGGGCGUAAAGCGUUUGUAGGUGGCUUUGUAAGUUGAAUGUGAAAGCCUGGGGCCUAACCCCAGAAGUGCAUUCAAUACUGCAAAGCUUGAGUAUGGGAGAGGAAGAUGGAAUUCCUGGUGUAGUGGUGAAAUACGUAGAUAUCAGGAGGAACAUCGGCGGCGAAAGCGGUCUUCUGGCCUAAUACUGACACUGAAAAACGAAAGCGUGGGGAUCAAACAGG
rnacentral:rRNA from 1 species